AUUCCCGUAGCACAACGGUUAGCGCGACGGUCUCCAGAAUCGUUGACCCGGGUUCGAUUCCCGGCGGAGAAUA